AGCAGUCGCCACGGGAAUACAGAGGGUGCGAGCGUUAAUCGGAUUUACUGGGCGUAAAGCGUGCGUAGGCGGCUAAUUGAGUCGGAUGUGAAAUCCCCGAGCUUAACUUGGGAAUUGCAUUCGAUACUGGUUAGCUAGAGUGUGGGAGAGGAUGGUAGAAUUCCAGGUGUAGCGGUGAAAUGCGUAGAGAUCUGGAGGAAUACCGAUGGCGAAGGCAGCCAUCUGGCCUAACACUGACGCUGAGGUACGAAAGCAUGGGGAGCAAACAGGAUUAGAUACCCCUGUAGUCCCUGUCUCUUAUAC
rnacentral:rRNA from 1 species